CGGGACACGUGGUAUCCUGUCUGAAUAUGGGGGGACCAUCCUCCAAGGCUAAAUACUCCUGACUGACCGAUAGUGAACCAGUACCGUGAGGGAAAGGCGAAAAGAACCCCGGCGAGGGGAGUGAAAAAGAACCUGAAACCGUGUACGUACAAGCAGUGGGAGCCUCUUAAUGGGGUGACUGCGUACCUUUUGUAUAAUGGGUCAGCGACUUAUAUUCUGUAGCAAGGUUAACCGAAUAGGGGAGCCGAAGGGAAACCGAGUCUUAACUGGGCGUUAAGUUGCAGGGUAUAGACCCGAAACCCGGUGAUCUAGCCAUGGGCAGGUUGAAGGUUGGGUAACACUAACUGGAGGACCGAACCGACUAAUGUUGAAAAAUUAGCGGAUGACUUGUGGCUGGGGGUGAAAGGCCAAUCAAACCGGGAGAUAGCUGGUUCUCCCCGAAAGCUAUUUAGGUAGCGCCUCGUGAAUUCAUCUCCGGGGGUAGAGCACUGUUUCGGCAAGGGGGUCAUCCCGACUUACCAACCCGAUGCAAACUGCGAAUACCGGAGAAUGUUAUCACGGGAGACACACGGCGGGUGCUAACGUCCGUCGUGAAGAGGGAAACAACCCAGACCGCCAGCUAAGGUCCCAAAGUCAUGGUUAAGUGGGAAACGAUGUGGGAAGGCCCAGACAGCCAGGAUGUUGGCUUAGAAGCAGCCAUCAUUUAAAGAAAGCGUAAUAGCUCACUGGUCGAGUCGGCCUGCGCGGAAGAUGUAACGGGGCUAAACCAUGCACCGAAGCUGCGGCAGCGACACUAUG
rnacentral:rRNA from 1 species